GGGCGAGUGGUGAAAUUGGCAGACACGCAAGACUUAGGAUCUUGUAGCGAAAGCUUUGCGGGUUCGAGUCCCGCCUCGCCCACCA
rnacentral:tRNA from 1 species